UACAGAGGGUGCGAGCGUUGUCCGGAAUCACUGGGCGUAAAGGGCGCGUAGGCGGCCUGAUAAGUAGGGGGUGAAAUCCUGUGGCUCAACUGCAGGGCUGCCUCCUAGACUGUCGGGCUUGAGCACGGUAGAGGCAGAUGGAAUUCCCGGUGUAGCGGUGGAAUGCGUAGAUAUUCGGAAGAACACCAGUGGCGAAGGCGGCUCACUGGCCCGGUACUGACGCUGAGGUGCGAAAGCGUGGGGAGCAAACAGG
rnacentral:rRNA from 1 species